rnacentral:RNase_P_RNA from 14 species
GUCUUCAGACAACCGCUGCGCAUUUUAUGUGUAGAGGAAAGUCCAUGCUCGCACCGGCUGAGAGGCCGGUAGUGUUCGUGCCUAGUUAAUCCAUAAGCUAGGGCAGCUGCUGUGCAGCUGACGGCAGGAGAGAUGCCUACGUCCAAAUGGAUAAGGCAUGCACUCCUUGAAAGUGCCACAGUGACGUAGUCUGCUUGGAAACGGGCAGAGUGGAACGCGGUAAACCCCUCGAGCGAGAAACCCAAACAAUGGUAGGGGCAUUUUUCAGUCUGAAAAUGAACGGAACUGAAAAAACGAAGCAAUUCGUAGAUAGAUGGUUGUCGCCGGAGUACGAGGCUCAUCACCGUUUGUAGUACAAAGGUACAGAACAUGGCUUAUCGAU